rnacentral:rRNA from 1 species
UAAACGCUGGCGGCGUGCCUAACACAUGCAAGUCGAACGAGAAAGCCCGGCUUCGGCUGGGCGAGUAAAGUGGCGCACGGGUGAGUAACGCGUAGGUAACCUGCCCCUGUGUUCGGGAUAACAGUGCGAAAGCGCUGCUAAUACCGGAUGUGGCAGAGAAGCGGUGGCUUCUUUGUCAAAGUCGGCCUCUCAAAGAAGCUGACGCGCGGGGAUGGGCCUGCGUCCUAUCAGCUAGUUGGUAGGGUAAUGGCCUACCAAGGCUUCGACGGGUAGCUGGUCUGAGAGGAUGAUCAGCCACACUGGCACUGAAACACGGGCCAGACUCCUACGGGAGGCAGCAGUGAGGAAUUUUGCGCAAUGGCCGCAAGGCUGACGCAGCAACGCCGCGUGGGUGAAGAAGGCCUUCGGGUCGUAAAGCCCUGUCAGGUGGGAAGAAUGACCAAGGGGGAAACACCUCUUUGGUGUGACGGUACCACCAGAGGAAGCACCGGCUAACUCCGUGCCAGCAGCCGCGGUAA